GGGGGUGUUCCGGUUUCGCCUGUAUGGGGAAUGCUCCAGAAGCGGGUCGAGGACUCCUUUCACUCGUAAAACACUGGUACUUUAAAUUUAUCUGCAAACGAUAAUAACUACGCUUUAGCAGCUGCGUAAGCAGUGCUAACGCUUAAUCAGCUUUUGUCUGUGAAGCUGUUUAAGUGUCAUAAUCAACAGACUACCUUUCAUCUUAAGCCUGUACGAUGAUCAGGGAAAUUAACAGGCCAGCAGUAUAAGACCCUGUCUGUUGGGGAUUAUACUGUUAAAAAAAGAACAGACUACACCCGUAGAAGCUGGUGUGUGAGCCAUACAGUACGUGGGUUCGAAUCCCACCACCUCCACCA
rnacentral:tmRNA from 1 species